CCUACGGGUGGCAGCAGUGAGGAAUAUUGGUCAAUGGGCGCGAGCCUGAACCAGCCAAGUCGCGUGAGGGAAGACGGUCCUAUGGAUUGUAAACCUCUUUUGUCGGGGAGCAAAAGACGCCACGCGUGGCGUUCCGAGAGUACCCGAAGAAAAAGCAUCGGCUAACUCCGUGCCAGCAGCCGCGGUAAUACGGAGGAUGCGAGCGUUAUCCGGCUGUAUUGGGUGUAAGGGGUGCGCAGGCGGAAGAUCAAGUCAGCGGUAAAAUUGAGAGGCUCAACCUCUUCGAGCCGUUGAAACUGGUUUUCUUGAGUGAGCGAGAAGUAUGCGGAAUGCGUGGGGUAGCGGUGACAUGCAUAGAUAUCACGCAGAACUCCGAUUGCGAAGGCAGCAUACCGGCGCUCAACUGACGCUCAUGCACGAAAGUGUGGGUAUCGAACAGGAUUAGAUACCCCUUUAGUC
rnacentral:rRNA from 1 species